CUUGUACACACCGCCCGUCACACCAUGGGAGCGGGUCUCGCCAGAAGUAGUUAGCCUAACCGCAAGGAGGGCGAUUACCACGGCAGGGUUCGUGACUGGGGUG
rnacentral:rRNA from 1 species